rnacentral:tRNA from 1 species
GGAGUGUUGGCUCAGGCAGUAGAGCGUCCGCCUCACAACCGGGAGGUCGUGGGUUCGAUCCCCGGCCGCAUCA